rnacentral:rRNA from 1 species
GGACAACAGUUGGAAACGACUGCUAAUACCGCAUAAGCCCACGGGUCGGCAUCGACCUGAGGGAAAAGGAGUGAUCCGCUUUGAGAUGGCCUCGCGUCCGAUUAGCUAGUUGGUGAGGUAAUGGCCCACCAAGGCAACGAUCGGUAGCCGGACUGAGAGGUUGAACGGCCACAUUGGGACUGAGACACGGCCCAGACUCCUACGGGAGGCAGCAGUGGGGAAUAUUGCACAAUGGGGGAAACCCUGAUGCAGCGACGCCGCGUGGAGGAAGAAGGUCUUCGGAUUGUAAACUCCUGUUGUUGAGGAAGAUAAUGACGGUACUCAACAAGGAAGUGACGGCUAACUACGUGCCAGCAGCCGCGGUAAAACGUAGGUCACAAGCGUUGUCCGGAAUUACUGGGUGUAAAGGGAGCGCAGGCGGGAAGACAAGUUGGAAGUGAAAUCUAUGGGCUCAACCCAUAAACUGCUUUCAAAACUGUUUUUCUUGAGUAGUGCAGAGGUAGGCGGAAUUCCCGGUGUAGCGGUGGAAUGCGUAGAUAUCGGGAGGAACACCAGUGGCGAAGGCGGCCUACUGGGCACCAACUGACGCUGAGGCUCGAAAGUGUGGGUAGCAAACAGGAUUAGAUACCCUGGUAGUCCACACCGUAAACGAUGAUUACUAGGUGUUGGAGGAUUGACCCCUUCAGUGCCGCAG